GCGAAGCUGCGUAAGGGAUGGUAGUGGAAAUCCUUUUUGUCUUUAUCAAAUCGUCUUUCGCAGACCAAUGUUGAAUGACAAAAAGAUUGCAGCGGACAGCCCGACCCGAG
rnacentral:sRNA from 1 species